rnacentral:rRNA from 1 species
ACUUAAAUUGAAGAGUUUGAUCAUGGCUCAGAUUGAACGCUGGCGGCAGGCCUAACACAUGCAAGUCGAGCGGUAGCACAGAGAGCUUGCUCUCGGGUGACGAGCGGCGGACGGGUGAGUAAUGUCUGGGAAACUGCCUGAUGGAGGGGGAUAACUACUGGAAACGGUAGCUAAUACCGCAUAAUGUCGCAAGACCAAAGUGGGGGACCUUCGGGCUCAUGCCAUCAGAUGUGCCCAGAUGGGAUUAGCUAGUAGGUGGGGUAACGGCUCACCUAGGCGACGAUCCCUAGCUGGUCUGAGAGGAUGACCAGCCACACUGGAACUGACGACUACGGUCCAGACUCUACGGGAGGCAGCAGUGGGAAAU